UACGGAGGAUGCGAGCGUUAUCCGGAUUUAUUGGGUUUAAAGGGUGCGUAGGCGGACGCUUAAGUCAGCGGUAAAAUUGCGGGGCUCAACCUCGUCGAGCCGUUGAAACUGGGUGCCUUGAGUGGGCGAGAAGUACGCGGAAUGCGUGGUGUAGCAGUGAAAUGCAUAGAUAUCACGCAGAACUCCGAUUGCGAAGGCGGCAUACCGGCGCCCUACUGACGCUGAGGCACGAAAGCGUGGGUAUCGAACAGG
rnacentral:rRNA from 1 species